AAUGCCUAAGUCAAAGGAACUUGUGUCUUCAAGCUCGUCUGCCAGUGAUUCAGAUAGUGAAGUUGACAAAAAGGCAAAGCGGAAAAAGCAAGCAGCUCCAGAAAAGCCUGUAAAGAAACAAAAGACUGGUGAAAGUUCAAAAGGCGCAGCUUCUUCUAAGCAAAGCAGUAACAGAGACGAGAAUAUGUUUCAG